rnacentral:rRNA from 1 species
CCUACGGGAGGCAGCAGUGGGGAAUAUUGGACAAUGGGCGAAAGCCUGAUCCAGCAAUGCCGCGUGAGUGAAGAAGGCCUUCGGGUUGUAAAGCUCUUUUACCCGGGAAGAUAAUGACCGUACCGGGAGAAUAAGCCCCGGCUAACUCCGUGCCAGCAGCCGCGGUAAUACGGAGGGGGCUAGCGUUGUUCGGAAUCACUGGGCGUAAAGCGUGCGUAGGCGGCCAUUCAAGUCAGAGGUGAAAGCCCAGGGCUCAACCCUGGAACUGCCUUUGAAACUAGGUGGCUGGAACACGGGAGAGGUGAGUGGAAUUCCGAGUGUAGAGGUGAAAUUCGUAGAUAUUCGGAAGAACACCAGUGGCGAAGGCGGCUCACUGGACCGUUGUUGACGCUGAGGCACGAAAGCGUGGGGAGCAAACAGGAUUAGAUACCCUGGUAGUCCACGCCGUAAACGAUGAUAACUAGCUGUUGGGGCUCUUUGAGCUCCAGUGGCGCAGCUAACGCAUUAAGUUAUCCGCCUGGGGAGUACGGCCGCAAGGUUAAAACUCAAAGGAAUUGACGG